CAGUCGCCGCGGGAAUACGUAGGUCCCGAGCGUUGUCCGGAUUUAUUGGGCGUAAAGCGAGCGCAGGCGGUUAGAUAAGUCUGAAGUUAAAGGCUGUGGCUUAACCAUAGUACGCUUUGGAAACUGUUUAACUUGAGUGCAAGAGGGGAGAGUGGAAUUCCAUGUGUAGCGGUGAAAUGCGUAGAUAUAUGGAGGAACACCGGUGGCGAAAGCGGCUCUCUGGUCUGUCACUGACGCUGAGGCUCGAAAGCGUGGGUAGCGAACAGGAUUAGAGACCCCAGUAGUCCCUGUCUCUUAUACA
rnacentral:rRNA from 1 species